GGCGAACGGGUGCGUAACACGUGAGAAUCUUCCUUUCAGUGAAGGAUACCUCCGAGAAAUCGGAGCUAAUACUGCAUAAGUCCCUACGGGGAGAAAGAUGGCCUCUUGCUAUCGCUGAAAGAUGAGCUCGCGCAUUAUUAGCUUGUUGGUAGGGUAAAGGCCUACCAAGGCUGAGAUGAUUAGCCGGCCUGAGAGGGUGACCGGCCACAUUGGGACUGAGAUACGGCCCAGACUCCUACGGGAGGCAGCAGUGGGGAAUCUUGCACAAUGGGCGAAAGCCUGAUGCAGCGACACCGCGUGGAGGAUGACGGUUUUCGGAUCGUAAACUCCUGUUAAGAGGGACGAAAAGCUUACGAGUAAUAUGCGUAAGUGUUGACGGUACCUCUAGAGAAAGCUCCGGCUAACUUCGUGCCAGCAGCCGCGGUAAGACGAGGGGAGCAAGCGUUAUUCGGAAUUACUGGGCGUAAAGGGCGUGUAGGCGGCAUGCUAAGUCAGUUGUUAAAUUCCUCAGCCUAACUGAGGAACUGCGAUUGAAACUGGCGAGCUAGAGUGCAGAAGAGAGAAGUGGAAUUACCGGAGUAGCGGUAAAAUGCGUAGAUCUCGAUAGGAACACCAAUUGCGAAGGCAGCUUCUUGGUCUGUGCCUGACGCUAAAGCGCGAAAGCGUGGGGAGCAAACAGGAUUAGAUACCCUGGUAGUCCACGCCGUAAACGAUGAUCACUAAACGUAGGUUUUAUUUUGUAAGAUCUGUGUUGGAGCUAACGUAUUAAGUGAUCCGCCUGGGGAGUACGGUCGCAAGAUUAAAACUCAAAGGAAUUGACGGGGGUCCGCACAAGCGGUGGAACAUGUGGUUUAAUUCGACACUACGCGAGGAACCUUACCUAGACUUGACAUGUACUUGCUCGCUGUAGAAAUACAGUUUUUCAAGUUCGCUUGAACAGGUACACAGGUGCUGCAUGGCUGUCGUCAGCUCGUGUCGUGAGAUGUUGGGUUAAGUCCUCUAACGAGCGCAGCCCCUGCCGCCAGUUGCUAUUCCUUCGGGAAGCACUCUGGUGGGACUGCCUAGGAAACUAGGAGGAAGGUGGGGAUGACGUCAAGUCCUCAUGGUCCUUAUGUCUAGGGCUACACACGUGUUACAAUGGUUGGUACAAAGGGAAGCAAUCCUGCGAAGGGGAGCAAACCUCAAAAAGCCAAUCUAAGUUCGGAUUGGAGUCUGCAACUCGACUCCAUGAAGUUGAAAUCGCUAGUAAUCGCGUAUCAGAACGACGCGGUGAAUACGUUCUCGGACCUUGUACACACCGCCCGUCACACCACGAAAGUUCUUUAUACCAGAAAUCAUCUUAGCUAACCUCUUCGGAGGGGGCGGAUGCUGAAGGUAUGGGGGAUGAUUGGGGUGAAGUCGUAACAAGGUA
rnacentral:rRNA from 1 species